rnacentral:rRNA from 1 species
GACAGAGGGUGCAAACGUUGUUCGGAAUUACUGGGCGUAAAGCGAGUGUAGGCGGUCUGCUAAGUCGGGUGUGAAAGCCCUGGGCUCAACCCAGGAAGUGCACUCGAAACUGGCGGGCUAGAGUAUCGGAGAGGUUGGUGGAAUUCUCGGUGUAGAGGUGAAAUUCGUAGAUAUCGGGAGGAACACCGGUGGCGAAGGCGGCGACCUGGGUAGAUACUGACGCUGAGGCGCGAAAGCGUGGGGAGCAAACAGG